CACGGUCCAGACUCCUACGGGAGGCAGCAGUGGGGAAUAUUGCACAAUGGGCGCAAGCCUGAUGCAGCCAUGCCGCGUGUAUGAAGAAGGCCUUCGGGUUGUAAAGUACUUUCAGCGGGGAGGAAGGGGAUAAGGCUAAUAACCUUGUUCAUUGACGUUACCCGCAGAAGAAGCACCGGCUAACUCCGUGCCAGCAGCCGCGGUAAUACGGAGGGUGCAAGCGUUAAUCGGAAUUACUGGGCGUAAAGCGCACGCAGGCGGUCUGUCAAGUCGGAUG
rnacentral:rRNA from 1 species